rnacentral:misc_RNA from 1 species
CAGAGGAAACUUCUGCUUGUAAAUAUACAAUAAGGAAAUCCGAUAACUAACUCUGGGUUAUUGGGCUUGUUGCCAGACCAAAGCCAAAUGGAAACAAGGGAUCAUAGUGUCUGUCUCCAACGUUCAUGGGGAGCUGGUCCACAGACUUGAACCAGGUGCGCGGUAGCUUCCCAGUAAAUCCAUAAUCCCCGAAAAGGACAUCGGACACACCUUGGCCUUCAGAUCCAGGGAGCCAAGCGGCUACCACAGCGUCCAUCGAGCCAAGGAAGGGCUCAAUCACAAGAGGCCUUCCAGAGAUGAUGACUACAACACACUUGACUACCCCACAGAUGUUCUUGAUCAUGUUUGGACCAGGAGCAGGCAGAGUAAGGUUGAGGUUAUCUCCAGCAGUCUCGGCAUACGGGGUUUCCCCGACUACAACAAUUGCAUAAGAGAAGUCAUUAUUUUUCACAAAAGUCGCAUCAGGUUUCUCCUUGUAGACCACAUCAGUUGUAGGAUCAACGGUAGCUUUAAUGGCUUCAAGGAUUGUAGUUCCGGCUGUGAUGUUACCGAUGUCUCCGUACCAUUUGAUUGUCCACCCACCACAUUGUAGACCUAUGUCAUUAGCAUGCCUUCCAGCAACAAGAAUCUUUGGAGCCUUCUUAGGCAGAGGCAACAAUGGUUGAUUGGCAGGCUUUCCAUUUUUCAACAGCACAAGCGAUCUCCGGACAGCUUCCCUUGCUAACUCCCGGUGUUCCUUAUUUCCGAGCUGAUCGGUCAGGCUAUAAUCAGCUAACGGGUUCUCAAAGAGACCUGCGACAAAUUUAACACGCAAAAUCCUUUUUACAGCAUCAUCAAUUCUGCUCAUGGGAAUAACAUUCUUUUUCACAAGAAGAGUCAGAUCAUCUAUAAAUUCAGUAUAGUUGUUAGGAACCAUCACCAUAUCAAGACCAGCAUUAAUUGAUGCUUGGACAGAGUAAGUGUAGUUUGCAUCAGGUGGGGAGGUGAUCCUAUCAAUCCCCUGCCAAUCUGAGAUCACAAAGCCCCUAAACUUUAGAGUGUUCUUGAGGAAUCCGGUGAUCAAAGCACGGUUGGCAUGCAUUUUCUUCCCAUUCCAACUCGAGUAAGAGAUCAUGACAGUGGAGACGCCCUUGAUGAUGGAGUUAUAGUACGCAGGCAUGUGGAUGCUAAACAAUCCAUGGGAAUUGAUUAUAGUGUUAUUCUCGUUAAUACCCUCAUAUGUACCACCAUCACCUACAAAGUGCUUUGCGCAGGCCACAACUUUGUCCUUUCCACCGACAUAAGGAGUGCCCUUCCUAUAAUUUGCAGGCAAGUCCCCCUGAAGUCCAGG